GCCAGGUCGCUGCUCCUAACCAAUAAGGUAUAAAAAAGGUUAUCAGUCUAUCCCGCUGGAAUGAUGUAAUGGUCUAGUUUUUCGCCCUGUUAGUAGGGUUUACCGUGCCUGCUGCAGUGUGGGAAUUAAAAAAUGUUGUCAAGCGGUGAUGUCAGCGACGUAGGCAUUCGGUUUCAUCAAAUGAGUAAGAAGAUUGUAGGAAUCAUGGAGUCUUUUGUGAAUGUCUCACUGCAUUUCUCAACGUUUGACUGAAUUUAGGGUCAGUUUGUAUUGUGAGAAAAAUUACAACAUGAAUGGAUUAGAAGCACUGCAGAAAAGAUUAAAUACAAAUGUAAUCAGUUUUAUCUUUUUAUCUCCCUAAGGUGAUAGCCUCAGUUACUGUAUUGUUAAAUAUAAUUUCCAAAGGGUUGCAUGACCAACUAAUUGUACAAAUUCGCACAAUAAACAAUAAAUGACAA